UGGGAAGAGCACCAUGCUGUGAGAAACUUGGGCUCAAAAGAGGAAGAUGGACAGCUGAAGAAGACGAAAUCUUGACCAACUACAUUCAACUUCAUGGAGAAGGCUCUUGGAGAUCUUUACCCAAUAAUGCAGGAUUGCUGAGGUGUGGGAAGAGUUGCAGACUGAGGUGGAUAAAUUAUCUGAGGGCUGACUUAAAGAGAGGGAACAUCACUGCUGAGGAGGAAGAAACCAUUGUUAAGUUACACACUGCUUUGGGUAAUAGGUAUAUAUAUAUAUACCCUCAUUUUUUAAUUAUAUAAAUAUCUUUUUAUAUAGUUCUCUUUGGCCAGCUUUUCUUUCUG